AGCAUAUAAAAUGGUGCAGUUUCUGUGGAAAACUUGGGCAGCUCUUCAAAAAGCCAAACAUGGAAUUCACCAUAUGACCCUGUAAUACCAUUCCUUGAUUCAGAUAAAUGUGUGCCUAUGUUUAUUGUAUCCUUAUUCAUAAUAGCCAAAGGGGAAACAACUCAUGUGUCCAACAGGUGGAUAAACAAAAUGUGUUACAUAUGUAUGUGAUAGAAAAUGACUUCCAUUUAUGAAAUACUUAAGCAAAUUUGUAGAGGCAGAGAUUACCAAGGGCUGGGAGGAAGAGGAAUGGAAAGUUAGCGUGUGCUUAAUCAUUUGGGGUGGUUAAAGUUUUGAAAAUACAGUGAUGAUUUGCACAACAUAGUUUUUAAUAAUCAUUAAUGCUACUUAAUUAUACACUUAAAAAUGGUCGAGUAUGCUUUGCUUUUGUUUCACUACAGUUAAAAACUUAAAAUAGAAAUCACUAGAAGAAAAAAUAGUUACAACCUGGAGAGGCAGAAACUGACAAGUCUGUAGUCUGUAAAAACUAAAAAUCAAAUAAUGCCUGUUUGGAAUUCUAGCCAGGGUUGUUACAGAAAUACAAGCGUAUCCAUGUAAGUGUAGUUCCUGGCCCCCACCACUAACGCUUUGUUACGCUUCAUUCAUACUUGCAGAGAGUAAGAAUAGAAGCUGAUUAUGUCCCACAAGGGCCCUUGUGGAAGAUGGUGGCACAUCUUUUGUGAAAUGAGAGAUCUUUCUCUGCCUUUAGUACUGGCUCUCAACCUUGGGCUACAAUUGGAGUUAACCUGGGAAGCUUUAAACAUGACUUGUGUCUCACUCUCCAGGGGUUUUGGUGUAGUUGAGCAGGGUGUAGCCUAAGCAACAGGAUGGUUACAUACAGUCAAGGUUCUAUGCCACCACCAUGGGGACAUGGUUAUAUUUAUUACCUAGAACAGUAAUGCCACUGUUAAAAUGGCUGGAGACGGUCAAAUAAUGGCAGGCCUUGCUAUUGCCAAGUUUGUUUCAGGCCAAGGGAGCCUCCCAGCCUAGACAUAUACCAUGUAUGAUAAUUUCCUGUCUUCUGAAAUAAUGUGUGAAGAUGAAGCACGUGCUCUGAAAGCACACUAAAUGAAAAAUGCUACCAUGCUAGAGCAACACAGGUGCGCUCUGAAGGGUUUCUGAAAUUUUGUACCUCUGCCACCUAUCUGGUUAUCUCAGCAACCUUUGAGGACUGACAGAACAAGAAUUAAAACACCCAACUUGUGAAUGAAAAUGCCCUCUAUGUCUACAGGUUCUCAAAUGUGAGCAUGCUUGCUGAGCCCCACUGCUGCACUUUCUGAUUCUGUAGGUCUAGGGUAGGACCUGAGAAAUCUGCGUCUCAAACAAGUUGCCAGGUGAACACUCAGAACCACAGCUCUGUCCUAAGUGAAAAAUGACAGCAGACUGGAAUCCAGGUUCUUGUAAUUCAGUAUUCUUUCUAUUCAUCUCACUGCCUGUGUUCAGUUUAGAUAAAUUAUUAACAGAAUGUGGAGAAAUAAUCCAUGGAUUCUUUGCCCAAACCUCAAAACUGAGAAGAAACUGACAGCAUCUAGAUUGGAAAAGAGUAAAGAAAGUGAGCUUUGGAAUCCGACCUGGUUUUCAGUUCCAGGAGCAAGAUACUACAGACCAGCCAUCCCAACCAUGGAAUCUAAAGUACCAAUUUAUCAUUUAUAGGGACUCAAACAAUGGAGAGAGAGAUCCACUCAUCAGCCCGUGGGUCUUCUCCAUGCUCAGCAGGAUCACCAAGUGCCCAGGCCAACAUUUCAGUAGCAUCACAACACAUUCUCAAGGCCUGAGACCUCAACCUUGUGCCUGUGUCCCUGGUGCUUAAACAGCGAGGUUCUGAUUGCAAAUACACAUCGUGAAGACACUGUUGCUCUUCUCCUAUUGGAGUUCCACCUCAGAUCAUAUGGUAGCUAGACGUCCCAAGCUGGUAAGGCACACACUGUCUCUCUCCUACACAGGGAUUAUUACAUCUUAAAAUUUUCAGUGAGGUUUUCUGAAGGAGGCUUAAAGACAGUCUCAUUUAUCCAAAGGAUGCAAAGAGCAUAAUCACCCUGGGGAAAGGAGAUAACUUUUGAGAUGCCGAAAAGAUGUUUUGUUGAUGUAGAAUUUAAAUAUGUGUCUGGAAAACAAAUACAGUGUAUAUGGUUUUCAGAGUGGUGAACCCGUACUUGGUUACUGAAGUGUGAGGACCAAGACAUGCUGAUUUGGGAACGGCCCCAGGGCUUGAACAAAGGCACUUUUCUGAGCACUCACCUGUCCCUGCAUGUUCAUGAUCACCACUGUGUUUGAUCUGUUGCAAACCACAAAGUGCUCUGGGUUUUUAGGAAGCAGGAUCACACUGUUGACAGUGAUGUCUGUCCCUGCAGUGCUGCCCAAGGAUUUAAAGGUAUUUGAACAUUCUGUGGUCUUCAUGUUCCAAAUCUACAAUACAAAAAUUUAAGGCAUAAACAUUGGGGGGGACAUUUAACAAUUUCUAAAGUUUUAGAGUUGAAAAGUAAGUUACUAAAAUUAAAAAA